GCCCGAGUGGCGGAAUUGGUAGACGCAGGGGAUUCAAAAUCCCCCGGUUAAUAGCCUUGUCGGUUCGAGUCCGACCUCGGGUA
rfam:Piscirickettsia salmonis strain PM15972A1, complete genome.